CAGUAGCCACGGUAAUACGUAGGGUGCAAGCGUUAAUCGGAAUUACUGGGCGUAAAGCGUGCGCAGGCGGUUAUAUAAGACAGAUGUGAAAUCCUUGGGCUCAACCUGGGAACUGCAUUUGUGACUGUAUAGCUAGAGUACGGCAGAGGGGGAUGGAAUUCCGCGUGUAGCAGUGAAAUGCGUAGAUAUGCGGAGGAACACCGAUGGCGAAGGCAAUCCCCUGGGCCUGUACUGACGCUCAUGCACGAAAGCGUGGGGAGCAAACAGGAUUAGAUACCCCCGUAGUCCCUGUCUCUUAUAC
rnacentral:rRNA from 1 species